UUGCAGUCAGCUCUGCAAUCAGGAAGCCAACAAGAAUCUGAAGAAUCUUUCUGUUCAUCUGUCAGAACAACCCCACUCCUCUGAAUGACAAACACACACACGCACACACACACACACACACACACACACACACACACACACACACACACACACACCCUAAUUCCAGAAUUGCAGACACUGCAGACGUCCAUGUUGUUGUUGCAGCUCGCUCCAACAGGUAAGCAUGUCUGUUGCUUUGUUCGAAUAAAGCAAAAGAUUUGUGGCUUUAUGAAGGUCUUGCAGGACAGAAAAUGAUUUUAUCCACAUUAAUCAGAUAGAAACAUUGAAACUUCCACUGUUUCUGCUCACUGGUGAGUGUGAAUGAGGUGGAAAAUGUCUGCAGAGUUGAACAUCUGACUUUUUCGAGGCCUUACUUUACAUUCAGCAGGGAAAACAUCUAAAAGCAACUGAAAUGGUGACUCAUGAUUUAAGAUCUUAUUUUCUAUUGCGGUUUAUGGUCAUUUAGUGUUUUUCCUGGUUGAUGUUGUGGCUAAAGGUGAUUGCAGGUUUUAAAGCAAGUCACCUUUAUAAUGCUGUAAUGUGGAAAAUGUGCUGAAUUUAUUUCUCUUUAUCCUGCCUCAGGUGAUCUUCAGUCAUGGCACAAGGCCGACCUGCAGCCUUUACAGCCAAGCUGAAUGUUCACGACAGCUAUCCAAAACACUCUGGAGUGCUCAAGUUUGGCAAAGUGGAGCUCAAUGAGGGAAAAGGCUACAGUCCUGAAACAGGCAUCUUCACCUGCCCCACCGAUGGGCUUUAUCUCUUCAUGGUGCACAUCACCGUUUAUGGAGAGGGACAGAGUGUAUUGGUGAAAAACGGAGAGAAAGUGGCCUCUCUGCAUCACACCAACCAACCAGAUCAACUUAGCUACAACAGCAGUCAAGUGGCCACCAUGAGCAGUGUGAUCAAACUGGCAAGGAAAGAUGAAGUUUGGGUGAAUUUAUGGGGUCAGGGGCGAAAUGACAUCUUUGCAACAGAAGAUAAUGACACUAUCUUUACUGGGUUUUAUUUACGCUAAAGCCAUUAUAUUGUCAAUUGUUUAUCUCCAUUGUCUCCUAUAAAUGUUAUGUGUCACAACUUCAGUAAAGUUUUGAGAAACAUAAUCAAAUGAGUUUUCAG
rnacentral:lncRNA from 1 species